UUCUUUUCAGUUUCUACCACAACAGAAGAAGGUGAAGAAAGUUCAGAUGUUACCUCAAGAUUUUUUUUAUUUUUUCCCGGGGUUGGUUCUGUGACCUUUCCGGACCUCAAAGAAAUUGCACUGACAUUGGCAUUAGGACCUUUUGGAUUCACAACUGCUUGGGCAGGAAGUUGGUUUGAUCCUUGGGAUUGCAUGGCAUUCAUUGAGGUGGCAAGCUGUCCAAUAUGUGUCUGCAAGGUUUGAAUACUAGAUUUUGUUCUUUGUUGAAACUGAAGAUUAUUAACAGCUAGUUGUUUG
rnacentral:lncRNA from 1 species